rnacentral:rRNA from 1 species
UACGUAGGGGGCGAGCGUUGUCCGGAUUUAUUGGGCGUAAAGAGCUCGUAGGCCGUUCGGUAAGUCAGAUGUGAAAACUCCAGGCUCAACUUGGAGACGCCAUCUGAUACUGCCGUGACUAGAGUCCGGUAGGGGAGCACGGAAUUCCUGGUGUAGCGGUGAAAUGCGCAGAUAUCAGGAGGAACACCAGCGGCGAAGGCGGUGCUCUGGGCCGGAACUGACGCUGAGGAGCGAAAGCGUGGGUAGCGAA